UACAGAGGUCUCAAGCGUUGUUCGGAAUUAUUGGGCGUAAAGGGUGCGUAGGCGGUUUGGUAAGUCUCUUGUGAAAUCUAUGGGCUCAACUCAUAGUCUGCAAGGGAAACUGCCGGGCUUGAGUGUGGGAGAGGUGAGUGGAAUUUCCGGUGUAGCGGUGAAAUGCGUAGAUAUCGGAAGGAACACCUGUGGCGAAAGCGGCUCACUGGACCACAACUGACGCUGAUGCACGAAAGCUAGGGGAGCAAACAGG
rnacentral:rRNA from 1 species